rnacentral:tRNA from 1 species
GAGGGUAUAGCUCAGUGGUAGAGCACAUGCUUAGCCUGCAAAAGGUCAUGGGUUCAAUCCCCAGUAUCUCCA